rnacentral:lncRNA from 1 species
GUCACAACUUUUAACAGCAAAGGCGAAACAAUCUCCAAGUUUCUUUUUUUCCAUGGCCUAUCAUGGAAAUGCUAAGAUAAAAAGACAAAAUUUAACCAGAGCUGGGAAAGCAAGAUAACUCUACAGCUGAAAGACUAGACUUCCCCUGCUCACUCAGGGGCCAGCUCAGUUCCACAGCCUGCUGGACAUGGAGAGGUCUCCAGGGAACCCGGACUUCAGCCCCAUGGAAGCUGUCCCUGCACAGAUGAGUGCAGGCAUCCAGGCAGAGGCCAAAGGAGACGCCACAUGCCCGCCGCAUGCCACUGAAUAACCAUGCAGGUUUGGCCUCCCCGAUUGACUCUGCAUAAGUGCCAUAGUUCUAUUAUUUGCAAUCAGUAACAAAGAUUCAUCCUGUGUCAAUUGCACAACACGGAGAGUCUUUGUCACUCAGUGUGAUUAAUAGCCUUCCACUCGAAUGGGAAAGUGGGAGAAGGGGGCUUGCUCUCUGUAUGUGACUCGGCGCUUGAGAGGAGGCGUCACUGGAUCCUUCUGCCUUCCGACACAAUUCGACGCCAGAACUCCAGCUGCCGUGGGAAAGGGGGAGGCAGAGUGUGUCUGGUGGGGCUGGGCAGAGUGUUCAGUUAGUGAGUGCUUGACAAGUCAGCCAGAGGACCCGAGUUCUGUCCCUGGAACCCACAAAGAAAGGCACACAUGUGAUCCAAGCACUGGAGAAGCAGAGAUAAGCAGAUUCUUGGGGUCGCUGGCCAGCCAUCUUAGCCUCAUUAGCAAGCUCCAGGCCAGUGAGAGACUCUGACUCCAAAAGAGUGGACAGAGCCUGAGGAACUGUACCCAACAUUGACCUUUGGCCUCCACAUGCACACAUGCGCGCACACACACACACUUAUACACACAUGUAUGCCUGUACAUGCACACAUGUGCACAUACACACACUUAUACACACAUGUAUGCCUGUACAUGCACACAUGUGCACAUACACACACUUAUACACACAUGUAUGCCUGUACAUGCACACAUGUGCACAUACACACACACACUUAUACACACAUGUAUGCCUGUACACACACUGGCAUGCACUUACGAACACACAUGCGCUGAGUGAGAGAACGCAUGCUCCUCAAGAGCCUACUUCAGAGUGGGCUACGAAUUCACUCAGAAACCUAACGGAGAAAGUUAACAGGCUCAGACUUCAAAAGACAGCACUAAAAACAGGCUUGAAGGUCCAGGAAUGGGGCCACUUAUGGUGGGUUCAACCCUCCUACAUCAAUUAACAAUUAAAACUGCUCCCACAGACAUACCCACAGGCCAAUCCGAGCUAAGCAAUCCCCCAGGGAGAUCUCCUUCUCAGGCAACUACAGCCUGUGUCAGCUUUACAGCUAAAGCCAACUUGGGUGCCAUGCUUUGUGACAAAUAUGCCAUUUUACUAAACAGAAUUCAGGGUGCACUUAAAAAUAAUAGAUUUGCAUGCACAACUUUAAUUCCUCCUCCUGGCAACCCAUUUUUAGUUGAGGUAUUCCUAAGUGCGUGACCUCACCUCAAAGGCUUUCUCUCAUUGUACAACUGAUUAGUCGCGUGUGUGUGUGCAGGUCUCUGUGUGUAUGUAACACAUAUAUGUGUGCAGACGUUACAUGUACACGAGAGCACACGUGUGGAGGCCAGGCAUUGAUGUUGGGAGUCUUCCCGACCUCUCCACACCUUAUUGCCUGUGGCAGGGUCUUUCCACUGGACCCAGUGCUAAUCAGUAUGAUGGGUCCAGCUAACCAGUUUCUAUGUACUGGAAUCAUAGGCAGGCUCCCACACGUACACACCUGCCAUCUACACAGGCAGACUCCCACACGUACACACCUGCCGUCUGCACAGGCAGACUCCCACACGUACACACCUGCCGUCUGCACAGGCAGACUCCCACAUGUGCACACCUGCCGUCUACAUGAGUUCUGAG